rnacentral:rRNA from 1 species
CUACGGGUUGCUCCAGUCGAGAAUCUUCCGCAAUGGACGAAAGUCUGACGGAGCGACGCCGCGUGCGGGAUGAAGGCCUUCGGGUUGUAAACCGCUGUCAGUGGGGAGGAAAUGCAUCAGGGUUCUCCCUGGUGUUUAACCGAUCCGCAGAGGAAGCGCAGGCUAAGUUCGUGCCAGCAGCCGCGGUAACACGAACUGCGCGAACGUUAUUCGGAAUCACUGGGCUUAAAGAGUUCGUAGGCGGCCUUUCAAGUCGGGUGUGAAAUCCCUCGGCUCAACCGAGGAAUUGCGCCUGAUACUGUUGGGCUUGAGGGGGAUAGGGGUGAGCGGAACUGAUGGUGGAGCGGUGAAAUGCGUUGAUAUCAUCAGGAACACCGGUGGCGAAGGCGGCUCACUGGAUCUCUUCUGACGCUGAGGAACGAAAGCUAGGGGAGCGAACGGGAUUAGAUACCCCGGUAGUC